CUAAAUCAUGAUAAUGUAGGAAAUUAUUUCAAGAUUUGGAAGAGUUAUAAUAAGUCAUAAUAGGUGAGGAAUGGGAUAUUUGGCUUGAGAGUAACUUCCAGACGGUAAAGAAGCUCUGAGAGCUAUACUAUAAGGAAUCAAGUGAAACUAUAAAGUUGCAAGACAAGUCAAAAAUGGGUGAUGGAAAAGAUUGUCGAAAGUAUACAUACAAAUGGAUGUCACUGGCAGUUGACUUCGGCGGCCAGGUUUAUCGGACAGUUUUUACCAAUCAAGCUCUGAAUGUAUAUGGCUCAAUCAAGGCUUUUUUGACGACAAAAAAAUGUUCCAUCGUACCAAAGUGUUUCCCCAACCAAGUAGAGACAUUGUAUCCAAACGGCACAGCAGCAUCUUCGGCGGACAAAUUUGAUAUAACGCUUCUAGCAAUUCUAAUGAAAGUAUUAGGUCAACCAAAAGAUGAAUCAGUUUCAAAUGACCUACAGAAGAUAAAACAAUACAGA